UACGAAGGGGGCUAGCGUUGCUAGGAAUCACUGGGCGUAAAGCGCGCGUAGGCGGCUUUUUAAGUCAGGGGUGAAAUCCUGGAGCUCAACUCCAGAACUGCCUUUGAUACUGGGAAGCUCGAGUCCGGGAGAGGUGAGUGGAACUCCGAGUGUAGAGGUGAAAUUCGUAGAUAUUCGCAAGAACACCAGUGGCGAAGGCGGCUCACUGGCCCGGUACUGACGCUGAGGUGCGAAAGCGUGGGGAGCAAACAGG
rnacentral:rRNA from 1 species